CCUACGGGUGACAGCAGUGAGGAAUAUUGGUCAAUGGGCGCGAGCCUGAACCAGCCAAGUAGCGUGAAGGAUGACUGCCCUACGGGUUGUAAACUUCUUUUAUAAAGGAAUAAAGUGCGGCACGUGUGCCUUUUUGUAUGUACUUUAUGAAUAAGGAUCGGCUAACUCCGUGCCAGCAGCCGCGGUAAUACGGAGGAUCCGAGCGUUAUCCGGCUUUAUUGGGUUUAAAGGGAGCGUAGAUGGGUUGUUAAGUCAGUUGUGAAAGUUUGCGGCUCAACCGUAAAAGUGCAAUUGAUACUGGCAGCCUUGAGUACAGUUGAGGUAGGCGGAAUGCGUGGUGUAGCGGUGAAAUGCUUAGAUAUCACGAAGAACUCCGAUUGCGAAGGCAGCUUACUAACCUGCAACUGACAUUGAUGCUCGAAAGUGUGGGUAUCAAACAGGAUUAGAUACCCCAGUAGUC
rnacentral:rRNA from 1 species